GAGUGUACAGGGAAGAGCUCUUUUCACAAACCCACGCUUUAGCAGGGCAUAAGCGAUGUAAAAGCAGGUUUUAUGGUCAAAGAGAAUUGAUGGAAGGUCCAUAAACUUGGUUUUAUUCAACAGACUCCUGUAUGCAGGACUUGCAAGUUGAAUUGGUCAAUACAGAUUGCAAAAACCGAGAGAGAUCGGGAGAGAGUAGGAGCCAUGAGCAAGGAGUUUUUAUCAUCCAUCUGUUGCUGCUUUCAUCGGCCUUCACCGCUAUCAGCUGAUGCCAUGCCUGCAGUUGCUCAGCCUUUAAUACCUAAAAACUUGGAAAACAAUGAUCAAUCCAAAUCUGCAGUUCCAAUCCUGGUUCCACACUUUCCUGUCAAUCCAAAUCUGUCUCGAUUGUAAGCUUGAGGGUUCUUAGAUACUAUAAAGUUUGAGAAGGGGGAGACCCAAGAGUUUUCAUUUUCAAACCAACUGGUCAGAGCUUUUAUAGAAGAUGCUGAUCUGAAGAGCAGUUUGCAUCCCUUUCACUACUCUUCUUCCCCACUUCUAUCAGUUUGCAUCUCGCAGUGUAAUCUCUAAUCAGUUCAGGGUUUUGUAUAAAAUUUGAUCAUGGAAUUACCAUCUGCAGAUUCUAUGGCUAUAUUUAGAUAAAUCUAUUGAUGGGCUUUGGCUUAUCAUCAAAGCUAAGUUGAUUUUCUA